UUUAGAGACUAUAAAACAUAUUCUUUGCAUGCUUUAUUGGAUACUGGAGCUACCACAAGUAGUUGUAGAGAAAAUGCCAUUCCUAUAGAAAAAUGGAAAUUAAUGAAAAAUCCAAUUAGAGCUAUAGGAAUUGAUGGAAAAGAAACCAUAAUUCAAUUUAAAGCUAGAAAUAUACCAAUCUAAAUAAAUAAUGUAAGAUUUGUAAUUCCUAAAAUAUUGUGUUUUCCUGAAAUGCAUGGAGAUAUAUUAUUAGGAAAUAAUUUUAUAUAUCAUCAUCUACUGUUUUCUAUAGAUAGAAAUUUAGUAAUAUUAUCAACAGAAAAAACUUCUGUAGAAAUACCUUUAAUAGAAAACCAUAAAUUUGUAUGUGAUAAAGGAUUUAGACCAAUAAGAAAAGAACAAAUAAAACAACUAGAAACAAAUCAUUGGUUGUUUAAAAUUCUAGAAAAUAAUUUUAGUGAAGAACCAUUAAAAUUAUGGGAAAAUAGUCCAAGAUAUUGUGAAAUAAAAUUGAAGAAUCCUAAUAAAAUAAUUAGAAUCAAACCUAUGAUCUAUACUAAACAAGAUAUAGAUGAAUUUGAUAUACAAAUCAAAGAAUUAUUGGAAAAAGGAUUAAUAGAAAAAACUAAUAGUCCACACUCAAGUCCAGCUUUUAUGGUAAGAAACCAUGCUGAAAUAAAAAGAGGAAAAGCUAGAAUGGUAAUUAAUUAUAAAAGACUAAACCAAAAUACUAUUUUUGAUGGAUACUUUAUUCCACGGAAAGAUGUUUUAAUAAAUCAAGCUAAACAAGCAAAAUAUUUCAGUAAAUUUGAUUGUAAAUCAGGAUUUUGGCAAAUAAUGCUAACUGAUGAAUCUAAACCAUUAACAGCCUUUAGUGCGCUGUAACACUCCAAACCCGGCCCAGACGUUACGACCGAAUCCGACGUGUCACAUUGAAGUGUUUUUCGAAAACCAUGUUUUCAUUGAAAACCCUUCUUGAUGUUUAGAAACUUUCAUCGUUUAAACUUGAAUAAAACCUUAGCCUUAUUUUUUUCCAAAACGUGAUUCAUUGUAAUAAUCAAAACAUUGUUAACAACCUUGUAAAAUCUUAUGGGAAACUUUGAAAACUUGUAAACCUUUGUAGUGGCAGAAUCAAGUUAUUUUAAAAAAACAGUUAAGUAUCAAACCUUCUUUGUCACGGCUUAAAGUGAAUGGAUACUACGCACCAGGUAGGAUUCAAGAAAAGAAGAGGUGAGUCAAUUAGACUGCUUAAGUACCUAGCUCUUCCAUGAUCCAAUCCUAGACAUGCACACAUCCAUUGCCACACUUUAAGCCUAUUACUUGUCCACGAACAACAAAUUAAGUUUAAGUCUAUUUAAAAUAUUUAUUUCCUUUGAAAACAUUUACGUUGCGGAAGCUUUGCUCGGAAAUCGUGAUAUUUUGAAAAUAAGUAAUUUUAUAAAACGCGCUUUAGAGCUAACCAAUUUAAUAACCCAAAAUAUUAAAAAUAAUAAAAAGAACGGCCUUAUUACAACUUAAACCAGAAUAAAAAUGAUCAAAAUAAUAAAUGCGAAACUUAUUUUAAAGAAAACAUAAACUUAAUCUUCGUGGCCACUCUGAAUCCCGCCCAGCUCCAAGUCCAUCGAUCUAAGGCUCACCUGCAAAGAUGGGAAAAAGGGGGGUGAGUUUGGAAAACUCAGUGUGUAAAGUAUCCCAACCAGAGCCCAAAUCAGUUCAAGCUUUACUGGGCCUAAGCCCUAUUCAGAAUUUAGUGUUAACUGGGCCUUAGCCCAUAUCAAUAUUAAUCUGGGCCAUAGCCCCUUACAGUAACAGAGUAUACUGGGCCUAGCCCAUAUCAGUAUCAAUCUGGGCCAUAGCCCUAUACAAGUCGAGAUAUAUUGGGCCUUGCCCAUAUCAACACAGUUGGGCCCAUUUCAAUACAAUUGGCCCAUAACAGAACAGUCUCAUAUGAUUAAUGCAUGAUAACCCCAUCCAACCCUGCACUUGCCUCCGUCCAUCCCUACACUUCCUGUGGGGAAUAAAUCACCCACGCCAUCCCUACACUUACAGUGUUAGCACCGAUUGCGGCACUAACUAUAAUCCGCAGCAAAGCUGCUUAUAUCAGAAUAUGUGGCACAGCCACCAGAACGGGUUGUUCCUCCAUAACAAAACCCAACCCCAUGCAACAGAUAUACAUGUCAUGGCAUACAACAAACAUAAUCAGAAUAUCAUGCAUUUCAAUCAAAAUUAACCCUAGGGGUAUAACGGUCAUUUUGCACCUAGGGGUAAAACGGUAAUUUUCAUACUUAAGGGUAGUUUAAUAAAAUUUACUAUUCUAGAGUUUACAUACAUAUUCUAACCAUUAACACAUUAACAGAAGCACUUACCGAGCGUUUUUACCAAAUCGGGCCUGUUGGCCCAUUAACCCGUUUUCGGCCCAUUAAGCCCAAAUAUAUCGAAGUGCACGAAAUUACGCACUCUGCAAUCAUACUGCUUGCGAUUAUCAAAAUUAACAACCAAACCACCUCACAAGCGCUCGCACGCUCGCAAGUUCAUAAAUGCCGACUUUUCGGCUUUUGCCGAUCUAGUUUAUGAGUGGGUGUCAUUUACACACCUGAUUUAGAACGAUACGUUGGCGAGAUCCACACAUGAACUGCCUACAAUUAUAUUACUACCACGUCAAUCUAAAUAUCGAAAACAAACUACUUAUUUAGCCUCUUACCAUACUCGUCCAACACAGCCUUAGAUCCUAGAGUUAUUUACCUUUUUGCCGAAAUAUGGGUUAAAUCCAAAGAUCCAACCGAAACAGUCUUCAAGCCCUUUUUUUUGCUGUACGCCCCCUUGUCCACGCUAAUGCUUAUACAAUGAAAAAGAAAAAGGCACCAACACCCUUAGUCCAAACGUUAGCCACCCUUAAAGGGUUUCGGCUUUUAUCUUAAACCAUGAAUAACUAACGAAAGUGAUUCGAAUACUUACCAAUCGUUGCUCUAUCCAAGAGAGUGUUCUUAUCUAUGAUUCUAAUCCUAAUCUACUGUAGUCCGAAGAGACAGGUUCAAGUAGCCAAUGAUUCGGCUUCCUACACCCCAGAUAUGAAGGUUUUUGGCUUUUGAAAGAAAAAGGAAAAAGGAUAGAAAUUCGGCUAUAGCAAGAUUCGGCUUUUGAGAAAUAAUGAAGAAAGGAAAAUAAGGGAAAAGAUAAAAAGAAAGGAGUAUGGUUUCAACCAAAAGAGUAAUCGGCAACCAAUAUUUGAGAAGAAAAAAUUGUAGUAGAAAGAAUUUGGCUUCGAGGAAAGAAAAUAGAAAAGGAGAGAAUUGUUCAACUUUUGAGAAAAAUAGAAAAGAAUAAGAGAAAAAGAAAUGAGAUUAGAUUAGAAAAAAAAAGAGUCCUUUUCCAAUUUUAAUUCCUUCCUUAUCUCCUUAAUUCAAGGCUAAAUUCUAAGUUUGAAUUUAAUUCAAACUCAUCCACUGCUGAGCAGCAGUCCACCGCUCAACCGACUCAAUCCAACGCUAGGAGAGUUUCGGUCAGACUCUGACUCUUCCCCACGUGAGCAGCAAAAUUCCUAACCUUGCGUGCGCGAACCGCAGCUCGAACCCCAGACCUCCGUCCGCCUUCCGCCUUCGCCCAAGCUGCUGGCCACUGCACCACGCUGUCUUUUACUAGUAAAUGGUUACAUUUAAUUAUAAACCUUACCUGCUGAAGCUUUGGUCCGCUUAAAAAUAAAAGAGAAUUUCGCCAUCCACGCGACCUUCUAACCCCACACUCACGUUCCUUACCACUGCACCAAAGUUCCUAAUAAUAAUUAUAAUUUCCAUAACUCAAUAAAAAUAGAUACAGUAAAAUUUUCUAAUAAUAUGUUAAUUUAAACACUAAAUUAACAACAAUAAUUUUAUAAAUAUAUUUGUAUCUAAUAAUUAUAAUGAUAAUAAUUUUCAUAAAAAUUAAAAUAUUAGUAAUAACAUAAAUAUUUUAUCAAUAUAUAUAUAUUUUUAAACACUAGUAAUAUUUAAAACUUCUCAAUAUUCAGGUUUUCUUCUAUCCGAAUCCCAGACUCAAAGCCCAACUCUUCUAGGCCCAAUUUUUGGGGCGUUACAUGCACCUAAUAGUCAUUAUCAAUGGAGAGUAAUGCCAUUUGGAUUAUGUAAUGCACCUCAAAUCUUCCAAAGAUGGAUGGAUUCUAUAUUUAAUAAAUAUAAAAAAUUUUGUGUAGUUUAUAUAGACGAUAUAUUAAUAUUUUCAGAAACACUGGAAAAGCAUAGAAAACAUUUAAAUAUUAUCUCUCUAGAAUUCAUAAAACAUGAAAUUAUUUUAAGCCCUAAGAAAAUAGAAUUAGAAAAAACAGAAAUAGAAUUUUUAGGUUUAAAUCUAUCGGCUGAUGAUCUUAAACUACAAGAUCAUAUUAUAGUAAAAAUAAAAGAAUUUCCAGAAGAAAUUAAAAACCAAAAACAACUUCAACAAUUUUUAGGUAUAAUUAAUUAUGGAAGAAACUUCUUUCCUAAUUUAUCUAAAAAAAUAGGAGACUUAUAUGAAAAAUUAAAAAAGGAUAAAACUUUUAGCUGGUCUAAAGAAGACUCAGAAAUUAUUAAAAAUAUAAAAUCAGAAAUAAAUUAUACCCCAAAAGUCUAUUUACCAAAACAAGGUUAUAGAUUAAUCUUAGAAACCGAUGCAUCAGAAAAAUAUUGGGGAUGUAUUUUAAAAGCUAAAACAGCAAAAAACGAAGAACUAAUAUGUGGAUAUAGUUCUGGAAAAUUUAAAUCAAAUGAAGUUAAUUAUGCUAUAUAUGAAAAAGAAUUAUUAGCUAUUAAAAAGGCAAUAAAAACCUUUCUCAUAUAUUUAGCAUCUGAAAAUUUUAUUAUAAAAACUGACAACCAGGCAGUCAAACAAUUUCUGACUAAUAAUAGUCUAGAAAGUGUACUAAGAAGAAUUAGAUGGUAUAAUGAUUUAUGUAGUUUCAAUUUUGAAGUUUUAUAUGUCAAAGGUACUAAUAAUAUUAUUGCUGAUUAUCUUAGCAGGCCUUAUGGAUAGAGGUAAAAAACCUCUAGAACAAGUCGGGGAAUGGACUACUGUCCAUAAAAAACCCAACAAAGGAAAGCAGAUAAAUCCUAAUCAAGGAUUUACUCCCAAUCAGGGAUUUACUCCUAUAUUAACAGGAUUCUAUCCUAAUCAAGGAUAUUAUGUUCCUUAUCCAAUGGUAAGACAACCAACUGGAUCUCCUUCAUCAUAUGCAUCAAGAAUGGUAAACGAAUACCCUUCAAAAAGAAUAAUUCAAUCUCCUUGGUCUCAAGAUCCGAAUUCAGCAUAUCAAGCCAGUUAUUCUGAAGUUAUAAAAGGAGCAGAAAAUUUGUUGAAACAACAACAAAUUCCAGAAAUAAAAGAUUUUUAUAAUCCAGGAUUACCAAAUAAUAAGAACUUACAAAUGAGUAUUAUGAUAUGAAUUCCUCCAAGAACCGUAACUCGUGGGGCCUCUGAUACCAAUUUCUUGCUAGAUAGGUUGCGGAAGAUUGAUAUUUUAUUAAAAGUAAAGGAAAGAUUUUUACAAGGAAAUGUUGUUUACAGAGAGGAUGCUGAAAGUAAAAGGAAAGAUUUCUAAACUAUUUUUCGAUGCCUCGUUUAGGCUCUUUACAUUGCUAUUUAUAGUAAAAUUUCUAAACUCUAUUUGAUUUUUCUUCAAUCUCGCACAGUGUUUCUGAUAAGGAUGAAUUUAUUGUUGCCUCCACGUAUGUUAUCAGUUGUCUUUGUCAUAUCUUGUUUGUACAUGGAUGCCUUGAAUUUUUGUUUACCGCCAAUCUUGAAAAUCAGCUUGAAAGUCUUCUUGACUUUCCACGUGGUCUUUGUCUUUAUCCUUCUUAAAUGUUGUCCAGGUUCCAUGUUUCUAUUUCAUCCAAGUGUAAAGAUUCUGGUGAUAGUCUUGGUGAAUUCCAAGUCUCCCACGUGUUCUUGAUUUCUUCAAUUAUUUCUGAAGGGAAAUCGUCUAUUUCCAUAUCUGCUAUUUUCUUUAGCAGUUAUAUGGAUUCUUCAUCUCUUGAUUUUUGAAUUAUGCUAUUUUUAUCAGCUACUAUUCUUUUUCCAUCGGUAGAUAGUUUGUACGUUUGAUCUUGAAGUACAUGUCGUGCUGUUGACAUUAAAUCAAUUCCGGCUUGGAUUUGAAAAUAUUUUGGAUUAUUGUAACACUUGUCAAUGGUUUUGGUCAAGUGUUUUUUAUCUUCUUUGGCUGCUGAUAAAUAAGGACUAUCAAACAUUCGUUGAAUAAUCCAUAUUUGAUAUGGUUGAUAGAAUCGCUCUUUUUCAGCAAUUCCAAUAAGACUACUUAUUUGGAUAUAAAAAUAGUAAUAAAAAUCAUCUAGAUAUACUAAAAGUGAUAAUAUAGCUUUUAUAAUAGCAGGAAAAUCUUUUAAUAAGUGAAAAGAAAAGUUUUGUACUACAAUUUCCUUAACGAAACCCCAUUCAAUACUGUUUAUAUCAAAUGGUUCAUGAUCUAAUCUGAAUUUUAUAGUAGGAAUUUCUUCCCCUAUAUCAUUUAGAUAAACAUAUGAUUGUAAAAAGUAUUCAGAAAAGAUUUUUUAUAUUGAGUCUGCUGGUUGCAGAUAAUUUUAUUGAUUUUUUCAAAAAUUUCUGCUGGUAGUAUUUUCCUAGCUUUAUUAUAUAAACAUAUUCUAAACAUUUUAUUCAUAAUGGGACUAUUUGUUCCUUUAUGAAUAAAGUAUUGAAAUAUAUCAAUAAGAUUAUUUAUCUCAUUGAUAUUUGUAUACUCUAUUUCGAGUUCUUGCCAAUCUCUGUAUAAAACAGCUUUUAAUAAUAAUUCAUGUGCUUCAUUUUCUUUAGUUGUUUUUUCAAGUAGAAAUUGUGAAAACUUUGUAAGAGCUCGUCUAAAAUUUGCUCUUUGUUCUAAAAUAUGGGUUUUCCAUAUUUCAUUAAUAUAUUUAUAAAUUUCAUUUGGUAAUCCUGGAUUAUAAAAAUCUUUUAUUUCUGGAAUUUGUUGUUGUUUCAACAAAUUUUCUUCUCCUUUUAUAACUUCAGAAUAACUGGCUUGAUAUGCUGAAUUCGGAUCUUGAGACCAAGGAGAUUGAAUUAUUCUUUUUGAAGGGUAUUCGUUUACCAUUCUUGAUGCAUAUGAUGAAGGAGAUCCAGGUGGUUGUCUUACCAUUGGAUAAGGAACAUAAUAUCCUUGAUUAGGAUAGAAUCCUGUUAAUAUAGGAGUAAAUCCCUGAUUGGGAGUAAAUCCUUGAUUAGGAUUUAUCUGCUUUCCUUUGUUGGGUUUUUUAUGGACAGUAGUCCAUUCCCCGACUUGUUCUAGAGGUUUUUUACAUCUAUCCAUAAGGCCUGCUAAGAUAAUCAGCAAUAAUAUUAUUAGUACCUUUGACAUAUAAAACUUCAAAAUUAAAACUACAUAAAUCAUUAUACCAUCUAAUUCUUCUUGGUACACUUUCUAGACUAUUAUUAGUCAGAAAUUGUUUGACUGCCUGGUUGUCAGUUUUUAUAAUAAAAUUUUCAGAUGCUAAAUAUAUGAGAAAGGUUUUUAUUGCCUUUUUAAUAGCUAAUAAUUCUUUUUCAUAUAUAGCAUAAUUAACUUCAUUUGAUUUAAAUUUUCCAGAACUAUAUCCACAUAUUAGUUCUUCGUUUUUUUGUUGUUUUAGCUUUUAAAAUACAUCCCAAAUAUUUUUCUGAUGCAUCGGUUUCUAAGAUUAAUCUAUCACCUUGUUUUGGUAAAUAUACUUUUGGGGUAUAAUUUAUUUCUGAUUUUUUAUUUUUAAUAAUUUCUGAGUCUUCUUUAGACCAGCUAAAAGUUUUAUCCUUUUUUAAUUUUUCAUAUAAGUCUCCUAUUUUUUUAGAUAAAUUAGGAAAGAAGUUUCUUCCAUAAUUAAUUAUACCUAAAAAUUGUUGAAGUUGUUUUUGGUUUUUAAUUUCUUCUGGAAAUUCUUUUAUUUUUACUAUAAUAUGAUCUUGUAGUUUACGAUCAUCAGCCGAUAGAUUUAAACCUAAAAAUUCUAUUUCUGUUUUUUCUAAUUCUAUUUUUUUAGGGCUUAAAAUAAUUUCAUGUUUUAUGAAUUCUAGAGAGAUAAUAUUUAAAUGUUUUCUAUGCUUUUCCAAUGUUUCUGAAAAUAUUAAUAUAUCGUCUAUAUAAACUACACAAAAUUUUUUAUAUUUAUUAAAUAUAGAAUCCAUCCAUCUUUGGAAGAUUUGAGGUGCAUUACAUAAUCCAAAUGGCAUUACUCUCCAUUGAUAAUGACCAUUAGGUGCACUAAAGGCUGUUAAUGGUUUAGAUUCAUCAGUUAGCAUUAUUUGCCAAAAUCCUGAUUUACAAUCAAAUUUACUGAAAUAUUUUGCUUGUUUAGCUUGAUUUAUUAAAACAUCUUCCCGUGGAAUAAAGUAUCCAUCAAAAAUAGUAUUUUGGUUUAGUCUUUUAUAAUUAAUUACCAUUCUAGCUUUUCCUCUUUUUAUUUCAGCAUGGUUUCUUACCAUAAAAGCUAGACUUGAGUGUGGACUAUUAGUUUUUUCUAUUAAUCCUUUUUCCAAUAAUUCUUUGAUUUGUAUAUCAAAUUCAUCUAUAUCUUGUUUAGUAUAGAUCAUAGGUUUGAUUCUAAUUAUUUUAUUAGGAUUCUUUAAUUUUAUUUCACAAUAUCUUGGACUAUUUUCCCAUAAUUUUAAUGGUUCUUCACUAAAAUUAUUUUCUAGAAUUUUAAACAACCAAUGAUUUGUUUCUAGUUGUUUAAUUUGUUCUUUUCUUAUUGGUCUAAAUCCUUUAUCACAUACAAAUUUAUGGUUUUCUAUUAAAGGUAUUUCUACAGAAGUUUUUUCUGUUGAUAAUAUUACUAAAUUUCUAUCUAUAGAAAACGGUAGAUGAUGAUAUAUGAAAUUAUUUCCUAAUAAUAUAUCUCCAUGCAUUUCAGGAAAACACAAUAUUUUAGGAAUUACAAAUCUUACAUUAUUUAUGUAGAUUGGUAUAUUUCUAGCUUUAAAUUGAAUUAUGGUUUCUUUUCCAUCAAUUCCUAUAGCUCUAAUUGGAUAUUUCAUUAAUUCCCAUUUUUCUAUAGGAAUGGCAUUUUCUCUACAACUACUUGUGGUAGCUCCAGUAUCUAAUAAAGCAUGCAAAGAAUAUGUUUUAUAGUCUCUAAAUUGAAGUGUAAUUUCUAUAUAUGUAUAAUAUUUCCUAGGUUGGAAAUUUGAAAAUGUAAUAAUAUCAUUUUUUCCUAUUUUCAUUUGUUGAAUAAUAGUAGUAGAUUGUAUUUCUUCCAUUCUAGUAUUUCUAAAAUUUCUGCUAGGUUCAGUAGGGAAAAUAGGUAUUUGAACUAUUUUCAUACCUAUCGGUGUUGUUGAAUUUGUACUAAUAUUAUCUUCUUCUUCUAUUUGAGAAUUAGAAGUUAAAACUAAAUUAUCAUUUGUAUUUGUUAUAGCAUUAUUUUUAAAAUAUAGUCUAUCUCCUGAUGACAUAUAUUCUAUAGUACUUACAGGUUUUGAAGUACUAGUACCACUUAUUCUAUCAAUCAUCCAAUCUUUUGGUAUUGACAGAUCUUUUAGAUGUAGUAAUUUUUGUUGUAUUUCUGUAGUAAAUUUAUUGGGUUCAAAUAACUCAAUUAUUUUAUUAUUAAUUUCUUUAAUUUCUACUUCUGCCAUGUUGGUAUAUUCAUUAAUAGAAGUCCAACUUAUUGCUAGAUCUUCUGCUAAAUAACUUAUUUCAGAAUUUUUUGUGUGAAUUCUUAAACAUAAACACUCUUCUAUUAGAGGGUCUGUAAUAGAUAUAAAAUAGUUUGGUUUAACCUUAAAUCCUAUUACACCAGUAUGUAAAUUAGACUGUAUUCCUCCAAUAAGUGCUUUUAUCGGGUUUUCAAAUCUUUUAUCUAAUAAGACUGCUAUGAUAGGUAUAUCAUGUCCUUUUCUAAAUAAAGCUCUAAUUGUUAUCAUAAUUAUACCUAAAUGUAUAUAUCUAACUUGAGGGUAUUUCUUUUUAAUCCUCUUAAUUUUUUCUUUAGUAAAUAAUGGAAUUUCUGUUAAUCCUCCACUAGUAUCCUUAGCGACUGUGUUGCCACUAAUUUUUCUAUAUGUCUUUGACUCCAUAUUUUAAACUUAGAUAUUUUAUAUAUUUCUUCUUUAGAAAUGUGAUUUUUAUUUAUUUUUUCUAUCAUUUCAUCAGAAAAGUCUUUUUCUUCUCCAAUCAAAUUUCCUAAUUUUAUGUCUUGUUGUUCAGACUUAGGAAUUUCUUCUAAUUGAUUUUUAGAACUACUUCCUACAUUAAACAUAAAUAUAUAUUCUUCUUCAUCUAAAUCAGAAUCCGUUUCUGAUAUUAACUCAUAUAAUAUUUCUUCAGGAUUUAUUUCCUAUUCAUAACAAAUUUCUAAAUCUUGUUCUUCAAGACUUUUAAUCAUCUUUUUAGCACUUCUUCCUUUAUUAGGACAGUUUGGUGCUAUAUGACCUUCUUCAUCACAAAUAAAACAUUUACAUAUCUGUUUUUUAGAUUUUUUAGAAGUUUUUCUUCUAACAAAUUUUUUCUUUUUCUUAUUAUUACCAGUAUAUUUUUUAUUUCCUGGUUUCCAUCUAAUAAAUUUAUAUUUUCUAUUUUUCUUUCUAUGUUUUUUAUAUGUAUUAGGACGUGUUGUUUUACUUCCAAAUUCCCAUUCAUUUUCUAGAAUUUUUGUACAAUGACUAUAAGUUAAUUUAUUUUUUACUUGUUUAGCCGCUUUAGUUUGUAGACAAUGUAGAGUUAUUCUUUCUCUUGCAAAAUUAAUUCUAUUUCCUAUAGAAUCUAUAUUUUCUUUUGCUAUCCCUGAUUCUUUACUAUGUUUAUCUAAAUAAGACACAUAUUUUUUUAUACAUAUCUCAUCCCAUGGUGGGGGUAGUUUAUGAAAAUAUUGGUUUUUCCAAAAUUCUAUAUUUUAAUUUUUUAAUUUUUGAUAUUCAUGAAGAAAUUUUUUAGAAAAUUCUUCUAGAUAUCUAAUAUCACAUAAUUUAAUUUUUGAUAAGGUAUAACUUGCUAUACUAUCUUGAUCUUUUUUAUCAAAAUAACCACAAAAUUCUGUUUUUAGAAUAUUUGUUAAUCCUUUUAAAAGAUCUUUAGGAGUACCUAUUUGAUUAAUUAGUUGUCUUUUUUGGACUUUUCCUACUUCUGAUUCUUCCCAACAUCUUAAGAAUUGUAAAACGUCUCCUUGAAAAGUUCUUACAAAAUAAUUUAAAAAUUUUUCUUUUGACCAAGUACCGUUGUUGUUUACAACUAUUGUCAUUGACUGUGCCCAAUCAUCAAUGGUUUUUUCAUAGUCUGAUAUUGAAAUAUUAGUCAAAUCUAAAUAUAUUCCACCUUGAGCCACAUUUCUUUUAUUUAAAUCAUCUAUCCUAUGUGGUAUAGGUAUAGUUUGACUUGGUUGUUGAUUAGAAGAUUCGCCUGUAUAUUCAGUUUUAACUUCAUUAGUAGCUAUAUUUUCAGUUUGAUUACCAAAAAUUCUUGUUGUAUUUUCAACUGUUUCAAAAUCUUUAUUUAAAGCUCUCAGAUAAUCAUCUUUUUGAAUAUCUGAUUCUAAUUUUCUUUUACCAUAAGGAUCUGUUUGAUCAGUAUCCAUAGGUUUGGGGACUUCUAUAUUUUCAUCCUCAUCAGUUGAAGUGUUUUCUUCAUCAGAUUUAUAACUAGUUACAUUUAAAUCUUCUUGAUUAUCAGAAUUACUAGAACUACUACUUUCUGUAGUAUCAUAAUUUAACAUAUAGUGAUAAUUAAACUGAGUAAAUAGAUUUUUAUGUUUUUCAUAAAGUUCUUCUAUUAAUUUUAAGUAUUCUAUUCUUUCAUUUUUAUCAGCACUUUUAGUAAAUUUGACUUUCCAAUGUUCUAUUAAUUCUUUAUAAGAUUGGAAAUCAUAUUUUUGUUGAGUAAUAUUUUUUCUUCUCUGUUUUUCAGAUUUUUUAUUUCUAUUAAUAGUAGAAGAUGACUCUUCUGAAGAAGUUUCUUCUUCUUCAUCUGAUAAAGUUAAAAUUAUAUUACUAUUACCAUAAUAUAAUGGACCUAAAUCUAUAUCUGAUUCCAUAUUAUUAUUAUUAAUCACCUGAUCUAAUUUAUUAUUGACUUGUGAUAAAAUUUCUUUAGAUUUGUUGUUCAAAUCUAAUUCUUUAAUAUCUCCCAUGUAAUUUACUUUUUCUUCUAUAUUACUGAAUUUAUUAUAUAUUUUAUUAUAAUAUAUGGAUGUUAUAUCUAUUAAACUAUUAAAUCCUUUACUAAGGGCCGAAAUAUUAUUUUCUUGUUUAGAAUCUAUAUGCAUAAUAUGAUUGCAGGUUUUAUCUUUAUAUAAACAAUCUGUCUCUUCCUUGUUACUUAUCUUUGGUACCUAAAACCGUCUGUUAUAUUAUUUUGUCUUAACACACAAAGGCCUAUUGUCUCUCACCUAGACUGAAAAAGGCAAAAGUUAGACAAAAUAACAGAUAUAUGAGUUUCAAGAUAAACAACCACGAAAUUAACUGGAUUGUAAAUUAAAGAUAAGAACUUACAAAUGAGUAUUACGAUAUGAAUUCCUCCAAGAACUGUAACUCGUGGGGCCUCUGAUACCAAUUACUUGCUAUAUAGGUUGCGGAAGAUUGAUAUUUUAUUAAAAGUAAAGGAAAGAUUUUUACAAGGAAAGGUUGUUUAUAGAGGAGAUGCUGAAAGUAAAAGGAAAGAUUUCUAAACUAUUUUUCGAUGCCCCGUUUAGGCUCUUUACAUUGCUAUUUAUAGUAAAAUUUCUAAACUCUAUUUGAUUUUUCUUCAAUCUCACACAGUGUUUCUGAUAAGGAUGAAUUUAUUGUUGCCUCCACGUAUGUUGUCAGUUGUCUUUGUCAUAUCUUGUUUGUACAUGGAUGCCUUGAAUUUUUGUUUACCGCCAAUCUUGAAAAUCAGCUUGAAAGUCUUCUUGACUUUCCACGUGGUCUUUGUCUUUAUCCUUCUUAAAUGUUGUCCAGGUUCCAUGUUUCUAUUUCAUCCAGGUGUAAAGAUUCUGGUGAUAGUCUUGGUGAAUUCCAAGUCUCCCACGUGUUCUUGAUUUCUUCAAUUAUUUCUGAAGGGAAAUCGUCUAUUUCCAUAUCUGCUAUUUUCUUUAGCAGUUGUAUGGAUUCUUCAUCUCUUGAUAUUUGAAUUAUGCUAUUUUUAUCAGCUACUAUUCUUUUUCCAUCGGUAGAUAGUUUGUACGUUUGAUCUUGAAGUACAUGUCGUGCUGUUGACAUUAAAUCAAUUCCGGCUUGGAUUUGAAAAUAUUUUGGAUUAUUGUAACAUUUGUCAAUGGUUUUGGUCAAGUGUUUUUUAUCUUCUUUGGCUGCUGAUAAAUAAGGACUAUCAAACAUUCGUUGAAUAAUCCAUAUUUGAUAUGGUUGAUAGAAUCGCUCUUUUUCAGCAAUUCCAAUAAGACUACUUAUUUGGAUAUAAAAAUAGUAAUAAAAAUCAUCUUGAUAUACUAAAAGUGAUAAUAUAGCUUUUAUAAUAGCAGGAAAAUCUUUUAAUAAGUGAAAAGAAAAGUUUUGUACUACAAUUUCCUUAGCGAAACCCCAUUCAAUACUGUUUAUAUCAAAUGGUUCAUGAUCUAAUCUGAAUUUUAUAGUAGGAAUUUCUUCCCCUAUAUCAUUUAGAUAAACAUAUGAUUGUAAAAAGUAUUCAGAAAAGAUUUUUUAUAUUGAGUCUGCUGGUUGCAGAUAAUUUUAUUGAUUUUUUCAAAAAUUUCUGCUGGUAGUAUUUUCCUAGCUUUAUUAUAUAAACAUAUUCUAAACAUUUUAUUCAUAAUGGGACUAUUUGUUCCUUUAUGAAUAAAGUAUUGAAAUAUAUCAAUAAGAUUAUUUAUCUCAUUGAUAUUUGUAUACUCUAUUUCGAGUUCUUGCCAAUCUCUGUAUAAAACAGCUUUUAAUAAUAAUUCAUGUGCUUCAUUUUCUUUAGUUGUUUUUUCAAGUAGAAAUUGUGAAAACUUUGUAAGAGCUCGUCUAAAAUUUGCUCUUUGCUCUAAAAUAUGGGUUUUCCAUAUUUCAUUAAUAUAUUUAUAAAUUUCAUUUGGUAAUCCUGGAUUAUAAAAAUCUUUUAUUUCUGGAAUUUGUUGUUGUUUCAACAAAUUUUCUGCUCCUUUUAUAACUUCAGAAUAACUGGCUUGAUAUGCUGAAUUCGGAUCUUGAGACCAAGGAGAUUGAAUUAUUCUUUUUGAAGGGUAUUCGUUUACCAUUCUUGAUGCAUAUGAUGAAGGAGAUCCAGGUGGUUGCCUUACCAUUGGAUAAGGAACAUAAUAUCCUUGAUUAGGAUAGAAUCCUGUUAAUAUAGGAGUAAAUCCCUGAUUGGGAGUAAAUCCUUGAUUAGGAUUUAUCUGCUUUCCUUUGUUGGGUUUUUUAUGGACAGUAGUCCAUUCCCCGACUUGUUCUAGAGGUUUUUUACCUCUAUCCAUAAGGCCUGCUAAGAUAAUCAGCAAUAAUAUUAUUAGUACCUUUGACAUAUAAAACUUCAAAAUUAAAACUACAUAAAUCAUUAUACCUGUUGUAGGCCAAUUUUAACCCAUUUACAUCAAAACCCAAUUUAGCCUUACCUAACCCAUCAAAAUUAAACUCAAAACCCAAAAUCCUACUACUCAAAGCCCAAUUUACAUCAAAACCCCAAUGGCCCAAACCCUAAGCCCAAAUCAAAAUAAAAAACCCUAGCCCACAACCUAAACUUUUCUCAACUAAAUCCUAGCCUUUGCCACCACCAACUCCACUAGCUACACUUGCUCCACUACCUACUCCACUAGCCACACUUGCUCCACCACCACUUGUACCUACAAAUGAAGAUAUAAACAAUAAAAAAUAUUUUGUAAAUGGCUAUGUAAGCCUUCUCAUAUUUUGUAUUUAGAGGAGGAAGAAGUUUUGGGGGAGAAAGUUAUUGUAAAGAAUUUUUGAGAGGUUUUUUUAGAGUAAUCAAGGAGAAGAGUUAUUGUAAAGGCUAGUUUUUGGAGAGAAUAGUUUUUUUGAAGAUUAAUCAAAGAUCAAAGCAAAAGAGGUUUCUUCGUCUAUUAUCGUUUUAAGUUCUUUGUUUGCUUAUCAUUUUUUCUUUCAAUCUUAUUUUGUUUCUUUUAUCCGAAAGUAAAAAUAAAAGGAGGAAGCUUAUCUAUUUUUACCGAAAAAGUUUUUUUUGAGGUCCGGCUACCGUGUACGGUGGCGCCGACGGCGGCCGGCGGUGAUCCGGUGACCGGACGGUGGCUGGCCUUGUGGCCGGAAAUCACCCACUCUCUCCCUCUUUUUUUUUGUUAUUAUUAUAUUUCUUAAUAUUAUAUUAUAUACAUAUUCUUUUAAUAUAUUAGGUAUAUUCUAAAUUCUAUAUUACGUAUAUAUAUAUUAUACUAUUUUAUGUAUAUAUCUUUAAUACUAUAUUAUUUAUAUAUAUAUAUUACAUGUUAUCUUAUGUAUAUAUUUUAAUUAUAUUAUGUAUGUAUUUUUUUACACUAUAUUAUGUACAUAUUUUUAAUAUUAUCACGUAUUUAUUUUUUAUAUAUGUACAUAUUUAUGUAGUAUUAUUAAUAGUAUUAUUUUUAAACAUCAUUGUUAUUUCUAAUAUAUAUAUUAUGUACACUUUUUUAUUUCUAUUUUAUUUUUUUAUUUGUCAAUAUUAAUUAUUAUUAUUCUAAUAUUUUGAUAUUUUAAUAUUUUAUAUUAUUCACAUCACUAUUCGCAUUUUUUACAAUAAUAUUCGUAGAUUUUUUUUACUAUCAUUUUAGAAACUUUUUACAUUUUAAUUUUAAGAAUAAGGCAAUGUACCGAUUUUAACAUUAAGUCAUUGAUUUCAUCGCUAUGUUGGGUGAAGUUAGUCGGCUCGUGUUAAAAACGGGAUAUCCUUCUAAAAAACCCAAAACUUACAACUUCUCAUUUCCUUCAAUCGGAUCACACUUAAAUGUCAAAUUAAAUUCGUAUUUUUGAAAAUCAAGACAACACGUGUUUAAUAAUAUACCAAUUUUGGGCGUCGCGAGGGUGCUAAUACCUUUCUCGAGCGUAAUCGACUCCCGAACCCAACGUUACUCUGGCUUUUGACGUAGACCUAAAUCCGGCCUUCAUUUUUGUGCAAGAAUAAGUUUUCUUUUCUAAAAAAGGAUGAUUUAUUAGGUGUCCGGUCACACCUAGAAAGAAGAUCGGUGGCGACUCUCUUUUUUAAUAAAAUCGAAAGUCGAUUUUUUAAAUUUUCAAAUAAUCGCCUCAAUUAGCGACCAAGCUAAGCUGAAAUUUUUACGUCGCUACAGCUGGCGACUCCACUGGGGACCCUUUUUGAGAGUCGAGUCGAAUUAAACUCGCGUUGUCAAAUUUUUCAAAGUUCCUUGUUCAAAUUAACAUUUAGUCGUGAUCCUCAAAUUUUUUGUUUUCAAAAAUAUCAUGCAUUUGCAUCGUGUUGUAUAUAUUCUAACUUAUUUUAUCCAGUUGUUUUUCAGCUUUAAAUUUUUGUGAUUUUAGUUUUGGUUUAGUUUUUUAAAUAAAACAUAAAGGUUUGUGAGUUUCUCCCCACACACCGUGCACGAGCAUCUUUGCAUAACACGAGCUCUCUACCCGGGCCUCGUCCGUUUAAGUGAAAGUAAACGCUACGCCUUCGCGAGUUAACUCGUCUCUCCGCACAGGCUAGUGAAUACUUUCGGGUUACAUAUGACUUAUGCUUUUGUGAGUUAACUUGUCCCUCCGCAUAGGCAUAAGUAAAUGUAAUCCCUCGAAUUGAUCUCGUAAGCCUAUGAUGGGCCAUGACUGAGACUUCGUACUAGUCUUAGUAGACGAUAGUACGAACAAUUCGAGUACCUAUCUAGAACCAAAACCGCAUAUAGUGAACCGUACGAGCCCCCUAACUAGAGCCAUACCGAACCUCCGCUUGUUCCAUAGUCACCAAAAUAAGUACACGGAAAAAUGCCUCUUACGUUUUGCACUUUCACUUUGUAUGCAAGGGGAUUGGGUUGGUUUAAUAAACUAGAUCGGGUAGCGUAAUUUGAUAAAUUUUCCAUGAUUUUUUUGCCUAUAUUUGACUACAAACUAGGGUUGUUCGUCUUUGCUUUAUUUUCAUCAUGUAUUAUAGGCAUCUUGUUAGGAAUAUGUUGAUUAGAGAAUGGUUGCCAAAAACGGGUUUCUAAUGGAGGAGUCAAUUAUACGAGUGACCGAAGCAUUGUGUAAUAGACUCUUUUGAUGAAUGAAAUGCCUAAAUAGGGGCUAUCUUGAAAUCAACACCCAUUUCUUGCAUAUAUUUCAUGAUUGACAUUCAUUUAUGCACUCAUUCAUUCAUUGCAUAUAUCUAUCCCAUGAUCAUUCGCUAAGGUUAGAAUCAUAUAAUUCGCAGUCACAACACUUCAAAUCUGGAAUCACGCCAUUCGUAUAGAACGCGUCGAAAAGCUAGAACAAUUGAGGCUGAGUUCAAUGAAAGAAUCGAAAGAAUGGAAAGAGUCCAAAGGGAAUUACAAGAACAACUGGCUAAGUCACAGCAAGAGACAAGAGACUUAAUGGUGAGAUCUCGAGAGGAAUCGUUCGAGUAAAGGGAUCAAAUGGCUAAAAAGAUGGAGAUGAUGACUGCUUUGGUCAAAGGAAAAGGAGCCCGAGUAAGGAAAGGUUUGGGAAGGUAUCUGCAAGGAAUAGUCAGGGCUCUAAAGCCAGUGUACCACAAGGCCCGAUACGGUUUGGGGUUCCAGCUAGACAUGCAACAAAGAAGAAAACAAUUACAGAAAGAUCGAGAAAGGCGGAUUGUAAGAUCCUUAGGCCGAGAAUUAGAAUGGGAGCCUAUAACGUACCCUCCUUUGUUAAAAACAUUUACAUUUGCAGGAAUGAUAUACCCCGGGUAAGAUAAUCUAAGAAGCACGCUGGUAUUAAUUGAAAGGGGUCUUCAGAAUAUCAGUAUAAAUGUCAUUGACAAAGGAAAUGAUGCAAUUAAAAAUGUUUCAAUGAUACGCCCUUAUCCUCCUGGAUUCGUUUUGAACAAUUGGACUGCUGUGGAUCUCCUUGAAGUUUCUAAGUCUUCUCCAGAGUAAUACUCAAUGUUAACACUCUUCUUUUUGUGUAUCCCUAAGUAAUAGUAGGGAUUUUUUUGCUAGAGCUUAUGAUUUGCUCUUUAUCAUUUAAGUGAACAUUAAUGAGAUGCAUUUUGUCAUGGUCUUUUCAUUCUCAUUAACUUCAUAAUUUUUCCCUAUUUUCUCAGCCAGUCAUUGCAUAUAUCUCACAUCAUGUCAUAAUAUUAUGCUUGUUGGUCCCAAUACUUUGAUGCUCCUCUAUAGUUUCCUUUUCCAUUCAAAUUUCAGGUGCUCAGAUAUCAAUGGCAUGAACAAACCCGUUACGAGUCCUGAAAUUGAUUUUGAGAAGGCUGUUUGUUUAGGAGAAUUCGAAGCCGAAGAAAAUGCUGAAGACUAUGUCUCGUCUCCUGACUUGCUAAGAAUGGUGGACCAAGAGGAUAAACAGAUUUUGCCUCAUCAAGAAUCUGUUGAAACAAUAAACUUGGGAACUGAAGAAAAGAAGCAAGAAGUGAAAAUUGGGACCUCUAUUUCAGAGGACACCAGGCAUAAUUUGAUUGCUUUACUCCGCGAGUACAAAGAUGUAUUUGCAUGGUCAUAUCAAGACAUGCCAAGAUUGGAUGAAGAUGUAGCAGUCCAUAGACUCCCACUGAAACCAGAAUGCAAAACCAUUUAGCAAAAGCUAAAACGGAUGAGACCUGAGAUGCUGUUAAAGAUAAAAGAAGAGGUCAAAAAGCAAUUUGAUGCGGGUUUCUUACAAGCUUCCAAAUACCCAGAAUGGGUGGCUAACAUAGUCCCGGUACCAAAGAAAGACGGCAAAGUACGGAUGUGCAUGGAUUACCGUGACCUGAAUCGAGCAAGUCUUAAAGAUAAUUUUCCCUUACCACACAUUGAUACGUUGGUGGACAACACAGCAAAACAUUCAUUGUUUUCUUUCAUGGAUGGAUUCUCGAGGUAUAAUCAGAUUAAGAUGACCCCUGAGGAUAUGGAGAAAACUACCUUCGUAACAAUGUGGGGAACAUUCUGUUACAAGAUGAUGCCAUUCGGGUUAAAGAAUGCUGGGGCAACAUAUCAGAGGGCUAUGGUGACGUUAUUCCAUGACAUGAUGCAUAAAGAAAUAGAGGUCUACGUCGACGAUAUGAUUGCUAAAUCCCAAGGGGAAGAAGAGCAUCUAGUGAACCUCAAGAAGUUGUUCGGAAGGCUGAGAAAGUUUCAGCUAAAACUUAAUCCAGCCAAAUGUACGUUUGGGGCUACCUCGGGAAAGUUGUUACGCUUCAUUGUCAGUGAAAGAGGUAUCGAGGUUGAUCCAGAUAAAAUAAAAGUCAUUCAAGAGUUACCACCUCCGCGCACACAAAAAGAAGUCAGAGGAUUUUCAGGGAGAUUAAACUACAUCGCCCGAUUCAUCACUCAACUUACCAACCAAUGCGACCCAAUUUUUCAGCUUCUUCGAAAACAUAACCCGAGAGAAUGGAAUAAGGAAUGCCAGGUGACCUUUAAUAAGAUAAAACAAUAUUUUUCUAAUCCUACAGUGCUAGUACCGCCAACUCCGAGAAGACUAUUGAUAUUGUAUUUAACUGUGUUUGAAAAUUCAAUGGGUUGCGUACUGGGGCAACACGAAGAGUCAGGAAAGAAAGAAAAGAUGAUCUGUUACCCUAACAAAAAGUUCACUGAAUAUGAGGCAAAGUAUCCGUCCAUUGAAAAAUACUGUUGCGCUCUAAUUUGGGUAGCUUGGAGACUCAGGCAAUAUAUGUUGUAUCAUACGACAUGGCUAAUUUCAAAGCUGGACCCAAUAAAAUACAUGAUGGAAUCACCGGUACUCUCAGGAAGAAUGGCACGAUGGCAGAUCCUCCUAUCGGAAUACGACAUUGCCUAUGUAAGUCAGAAGUCGAUAAAAGGGAGCGCAAUAGCUGAUUUCUUAGCGACUCAAACGACAGAAGAAUAUGAGCCCUUGAGAUUCGAUUUCCCAAAUGAAGACUUAAUGUGCAUCACAGAAAAAGAAUCCGAGUCAUCAAAAGAGAAGCCAUGGAAGAUGAGUUUUGAUGAUGCAUCAAAUGCCUUGGGGCAUGGAAUUGGAGCAAUCCUAGUCUCACCAGACGGGAAUCAUUAUCCGUUCACAGCCAGGCUAAAUUUCUUCUGUAUCGAUAACAUAGCAGAAUAUGCGGCCUGUAUCAUGGGACGUCGUGCAGCUAUUGAACGAAACAUCAAAACUUUAAAGGUAUAUGGAGACUCAGCAUUUAUGAUUUACCAAAUCCGUGGAGAUUGGGAAGUGAGGGAUCCGAAAUUGGUUAAAUACAGUGAUCUAGUGGCAGAGCUGAUUAAAGAAUUCGAAGAAAUAACUUUUAAUUACUUCUCACGAGAAGAAAACCAAUUGGCUGAUGCCCUGGCCACUUUGGCUUCAAUGUUCAAAGCAAACAGAGAAAUAGAAAUAAUGCCUCUUCAAAUGAGCAUAUAUGAAGUCCCUGCACAUUGUUUCAGCAUUGAGAAAGAGCCAGAUGGAUGGCCAUGGUUCCAUGAUAUCUUAGAAUACGUCAAGAAUCAAAAGUACCCCGAACAAGCAAAUGAGAAUGAAAAAAGAACAAUCAGAAGAAUGGCAGCGGGAUUCGUUCUUGAUGAGGACAUCCUGUACAAGAGAGGAAAAGAUCAGGUGCUCUUGAGAUGCGUAGAUGCUGUUGAAGCCCGAAAAAUACUUGAAGAUGUUCAUGAGGGAAUUUGUGGGACACAUGCCAAUGGUUUCACUAUGACCAGGAAGAUUAUGAGACUCGGUUAUUACUGGCUGACGAUGGAAAGUGACUGCAUUAGUUUUGCACGAAAAUGCCACAAAUGUCAAACUUAUGGUGAUAAAAUUCAUGCGGCCCCUUCGCCCCUUCACAUCAUGACUUCUCCGUGGCCUUUUUCUAUGUGGGGGCAUGAAUGUUAUAGGGCCAAUUUCCCCAAAAGCUUCUAAUGGACACCGAUUCAUUUUUGUAGUCAUUGAUUAUUUCACAAAAUGGAUAGAAGCCGCUUUAUUUUCCAACAUGACGAAGACUGCAGUUUGCAGGUUUUUGAAAAAAAAAAUCAUUUGUCGAUAUGGUUUGCCUGAAAGAAUCAUUUCAGAUAACGCCAUUAAUUUGAACAACAAGAUGAUGAAGGAGGUGUGUGAACAAUUUCAAAUAAAGCAUCAUAAUUCAUCACCCUAUCGCCCGAAAAUGAAUGGAGCUGUUGAAGCGGCCAACAAGAAUAUUAAGAAGAUUAUUGGGAAAAUGACCGAGACAUAUAAAGAUUGGCACGAGAAGCUACCAUUUGCUUUGUAUGCAUAUCGUACAUCUGUGCGGAUAUCUACUAGAGCAACUCUUUUCUCUCUGGUAUAUGGAAUGGAAGCUGUGCUACCUAUCGAGGUUGAGAUCCCCUCUUUACGAGUCUUAAUGGAAUCUAAACUAGAAGAAGCAGAAUGGGUUCGAGCUCGAUAUGAUCAAUUAAACCUCAUCGAAGAAAAACGUCUAAAGGCAAUUUGUCACGGACAGAUGUACCAAAAGAGAAUGAUCGUGGCCCAUGACAAGAAAGUACGGCCAAGAGAAUUCCACGAAGGAGAACUUGUGCUGAGAAAGAUUCUCCCAAUACAAAAGGACUUCCGAGGAAAAUGGGCCCCAAAUUGGGAAGGACCAUACGCCGUAAAGAAAGCAUUCUCGGGUGGAGCUUUGAUUCUCACUGAGAUGGAUGGGAAGGAGUUAUCGAAUCCAGUGAAUUCAGAUGCUGUAAAGAAAUAUUAUGCUUAAAAAAAGGAAAAUCAAGAUGAAAACCUGUAAAAGGGCAUCUUAAAAAAAAGAGAAAAGAAAAGAAAAAAGAAAAAGAGAGAGGGAUCAAUGUGAAAACCUGAAAAGGGCGUCUUGAUUAACACAAAAGAUUAGGAUGAAAACCCAAAAGGGCGUUCUAAUGAAGCAAGCACUGGCUUAAAAAGCAAGGCGUUUUGAACGGUGGGUCAAACAGAGAGACUAUAGUAUUUGAAGCAUUUCUGAAAACUCAAAAUCUCUUACGCAAGAAAGCCAUGCUCGAAAAGAUUCUUGAUUGAGGAACGUGGAAGAGUUCAUGCGUUGAAUAUCUAGAGCAUUUGUAUUUGUUGAAAUGUGAUCCCCUUUCUCUUUAUGUCACUUUUUUUACUAUCAUUGAUUAACUUUCUUUGUUUGCUACGUUUGAAAUGAAUAAAUGUGAGGUAUCCUUUUGUCCCUACUUGACCAUUUUCAUGCAUCUCAUUAUGUGGUUCAUUUAUAUGAUAAAUAGUGAAAUGACAUACUCUAAACAAAAGAAGUGCUAAGCAUUACCCGGAUAAGAAUUUGAUAAGUACAAGAGCCUCAAAGCAAGGACAAAGUUCAACCAGGGGCAAAAGAGCGAUAUCUGAGAAACGUAGAUUAGUCGUGAAGCUAGAGGACGGGUACAGGGCCUGAAGAGAAAGUCAAGAGUCAAAGCAAUGAACGCAGAUCAUCAAAAAUCAUGACGGAAAGGGACAUAUGACAAGCAAGCCCAAGGCGCAUAGCAUGAUCAUGUAGGCAUAAAGGCAUUUAAGGCAAACAUGUGCAUAUCAUGAUAACAUCAUGCAUGACAUAUACAUGUAUUUCAGCAGAACAAGAGGUUUCGAUGAUAGCUGUACUGAAUCAAAGGAAAGGACACUUGAGUUCCACCAGAUGACAUCUUUUGGUAUUUUGAUGUUUUUAUUUCUGUCUUUCAAAAAAAUCAACUCAUAUUGCGAGAGGUGAGUUGGGCCUCAGGUCACAUGCUGAGGUAUUUUCAAUUUCCGUUUUUUCAAUUUAUGCUUUUCAAAAAAUCAACUCAUAUUGCGAGAGGUGAGUUGAGCCUUAGGACACGCUGAGGUAAUUUCAAUUUAUGCUUUUCAAAAAUCAACUCAUAUUGCGAGAGGUGAGCUGAGACUCAGGGCACGCCGAGGUAUUUUUAAUUUCUGUUUUUUAAUUUCUGCUUUUAAUUUCUGUUUUUCAAAAAUCAACUCAUAUUACGAGAGGUGAGUUGAGCCUCAGGGCACGCUGAGGUAUUUUCAAUUUCUGUUUUUCAAUUUUUGCCUUACAAAUUCUGCUUUUCAAAUCAACUCAUAUUGCGAGAGGUGAGUUGAGCCUCAGGACACGCUGAGGUAUUUUCAAUUUUCGUUUUUUUAAUUUAUGUUUCUAAAAAAAAUCAACUCAUAUUGCGAGAAAUGAGUUGAGCCUCAGGACACGCUGAGGUAAUUUCAAUUUUUGUUUAUCAAAAUUCAACUCAUAUUGCAAGAGGUGAGUUGAGCCUCAAGACACGUUGAGGUAUUUUCAAUUUCUGUUUUUCAAAAAAUCAACUCAUAUUGCGAUAGGUGAGUUGAGCCUCAGGACACGCUGAGGUAAUUUCAAUUUUUGUUUGUCAAAAAUCAACUCAUAUUGCGAGAGGUGAGUUGAGCCUCAAGACACGUUGAGGUAUUUUCAAUUUCUGUCUUUCAAAAAAAUCAGCUCAUAUUGCGAGAGGUGAGUUGAACCUCAAGACGCUGAGGUGUUUUCCAUUUCUGUUCUUCAAUUUCUGUGUUUCAAAAAAAAUCAGCUCAUAUUGCGAGUGGUGAGUUGAACCUUGACUCACACGCUGAGGUAUUUUCAAAUUCUGUUUUUCAAAUAUUAUUUUUCCAAAAAAAUCAACUCAUAUUGCGAGAGGUGAGUUCAGCCUCAGGACACGCUGAGAUAUUUUCAAUUUUUUUUUCAAUUUAUGUUUGUCAAAAAAAUCAACUCAUAUUGCGAGAGGUGAGUUGAGCCUCAGGUCACACGCCGAGGUAUUUUCAAUUGAUUUUUUUUUAAAUUUAUGCUUUGCAAAAAUCAACUCAUAUUACGAGAGGUGAGUUGAGCCUCGGGUCACAUACCGAGAUAUUUUCAAAAUCUGUUUUACAAAUUUUGUUUUAAAAAUCAACUCAUAUUGCGAGAAGUGAGUUGAGCCUUGGCUCACGUGCUGAGCUAUUUUCAAUUUCUGUUUUUAAUGUUUAGUUUUAAAGAGUCAAUUCAUAUUGCGAGAAAUGAGUUAAGCUCAGGAUCACAUGCCGAGUAAAGAAUAAAGACUGGAAUUAAUCAAAGACACAGAUUUUAUAUACCUGAAGUUACAGUGAAGCUAAUUGAAGUUGCAGUGGAGCUGAUCGAGGAUAUCAGAUCUUGCCUUUCUAAAAGUUGUAGAAGAGAAGACCACAAACUUUAUCUGACUAAAGCGAUGGAAGAGUAGAUUGAAGCUAUAAAUCUUAUCUUUUUGAAGUCACAUUGGAGUAGAUCGAAGCUACAAGGCAUAUAUCAGAAGAUGCAGUGGAUUGGAUCAAGAAAACAAGAUACAAUGGUUUGGAAAGAGACUACCUGGAUGAGAAGAGCACCAAAGAAGUCCAUACUUAGUAAGACCAGACAAAAUUGGCCUUUCUUUGUGUCUUUGCUUUAUUCCCGUUACACGAUAAUAAGCAAAGAGGGGCAGUUGUUGUAGGCCAAUUUUAACCCAUUUACAUCAAAACCCAAUUUAGCCUUACCUAACCCAUCAAAAUUAAACCCAAAACCCAAAAUCCUACUACUCAAAGCCCAAUUUACAUCAAAACCCCAAUGGCCCAAACCCUAAGCCCAAAUCAAAAUAAAAAACCCUAGCCCACAACCUAAACUUUUCUCAACUAAAUCCUAGCCUUUGCCACCACCAACUCCACUAGCUACACUUGCUCCACCACCAACUCCAUUAGCCACACUUGCUCCACUACCUACUCCACUAGCCACACUUGUUCCACUACCUACUCCACUAGCCACACUUGCUCCACCACCACUUGUACCUACAAAUGAAGAUAUAAACAAUAAAAAAUAUUUUGUAAAUGGCUAUAUAAGCCUUCUCAUAUUUUGUAUUUAGAAGAGGAAGAAGUUUUGGGGGAGAAAGUUAUUGUAAAGAAUUUUUGAGAGGUUUUUUUAGAGUAAUCAAGGAGAAGAGUUAUUGUAAAUGCUAGUUUUUGGAGAGAAUAGUUUUUUUGAAGAUUAAUCAAAGAUCAAAGCAAAAGAGGUUUCUUCGUCUAUUAUCAUUUUAAGUUCUUUGUUUGCUUAUUAUUUUUUCUUUCAAUCUUAUUUUGUUUCUUUUAUCCGAAAGUAAAAAUAAAAGGAGGAAGCUUAUCAAUUUUUACCGAAAAAGUUUUUUUUGAGGUCCGGCUACCGUGUACGGUGGCGCCGACGGCGGCCGGUGGUGAUCCGGUGACCGGACGGUGGCUGGCCUUGUGGCCAGAAAUCACCCACUCUCUCCCUCUCUCUUUUUUUUGUUAUUAUUAUAUUUCUUCAUAUUAUAUUAUAUACAUAUUCUUUUAAUAUAUUAGGUAUAUUCUAAAUUCUAUAUUACGUAUAUAUAUUAUACUAUUUUAUGUAUAUAUCUUUAAUACUAUAUUAUUUAUAUAUAUAUUUUACAUGUUAUCUUAUGUAUAUAUUUUAAUUAUAUUAUGUAUGUAUUUUUUUACACUAUAUUAUGUACAUAUUUUUAAUAUUAUCACGUAUUUAUUUUUUAUAUAUGUACAUAUUUAUGUAGUAUUAUUAAUAGUAUUAUUUUUAAACAUCAUUGUUAUUUCUAAUAUAUAUAUUAUGUACACUUUUUUAUUUCUAUUUUAUUUUUUUAUUUGUCAAUAUUAAUUAUUAUUAUUCUAAUAUUUUGAUAUUUUAAUAUUUUAUAUUAUUCACAUCACUAUUCGCAUUUUUUUACAAUAAUAUUCUUAGAUUUUUUUUACUAUCAUUUUAGAAACUUUUUACAUUUUAAUUUUAAGAAUAAGGCAAUGUACCGAUUUUAACAUUAAGUCAUUGAUUUCAUCGCUAUGUUGGGUGAAGUUAGUCGGCUCGUGUUAAAAACGGGAUAUCCUUCUAAAAAACCCAAAACUUACAACUUCUCAUUUCCUUCAAUCGGAUCACACUUAAAUGUCAAAUUGAAUUCGUAUUUUUGAAAAUCAAGACAACACGUGUUUAAUAAUAUACCAAUUUUGGGCGUCGCGAGGGUGCUAAUACCUUUCUCGAGCGUAACCGACUCCCGAACCCAACGUUACUCUGGCUUUUGACGUAGACCUAAAUCCGGCCUUCAUUUUUGUGCAAGAAUAAGUUUUCUUUUCUAAAAAAGGAUGAUUUGUUAGGUGUCCGGUCACACCUAGAAAGAAGAUCGGUAGCGACUCCCUUUUUUCAUAAAAUCGAAAGUCGAUUUUUUAAAUUUUCAAAUAAUCGCCUCAAUUAGCGAUCGAAAGCGAAAUUUUUACGUCGCUACAAUACCAUCUAAUUCUUCUUGGUACACUUUCUAGACUAUUAUUAGUCAGAAAUUGUUUGACUGCCUGGUUGUCAGUUUUUAUAAUAAAAUUUUCAGAUGCUAAAUAUAUGAGAAAGGUUUUUAUUGCCUUUUUAAUAGCUAAUAAUUCUUUUUCAUAUAUAGCAUAAUUAACUUCAUUUGAUUUAAAUUUUCCAGAACUAUAUCCACAUAUUAGUUCUUCGUUUUUUUGCUGUUUUAGCUUUUAAAAUACAUCCCCAAUAUUUUUCUGAUGCAUCGGUUUCUAAGAUUAAUCUAUCACCUUAUUUUGGUAAAUAUACUUUUGGGGUAUAAUUUAUUUCUGAUUUUAUAUUUUUAAUAAUUUCUGAGUCUUCUUUAGACCAGCUAAAAGUUUUAUCCUUUUUUAAUUUUUCAUAUAAGUCUCCUAUUUUUUCAGAUAAAUUAGGAAAGAAGUUUCUUCCAUAAUUAAUUAUACCUAAAAAUUGUUGAAGUUGUUUUUGGUUUUUAAUUUCUUCUGAAAAUUCUUUUAUUUUUACUAUAAUAUGAUCUUGUAGUUUAAGAUCAUCAGCCGAUAGAUUUAAACCUAAAAAUUCUAUUUCUGUUUUUUCUAAUUCUAUUUUCUUAGGGCUCAAAAUAAUUUCAUGUUUUAUGAAUUCUUGAGAGAUAAUAUUUAAAUGUUUUCUAUGCUUUUCCAGUGUUUCUGAAAAUAUUAAUAUAUCGUCUAUAUAAACUACACAAAUUUUUUUAUAUUUAUUAAAUAUAGAAUCCAUCCAUCUUUGGAAGAUUUGAGGUGCAUUACAUAAUUCAAAUGGCAUUACUCUCCAUUGAUAAUGACCAUUAGGUGCACUAAAGGUUGUUAAUGGUUUAGAUUCAUCAGUUAGCAUUAUUUGCCAAAAUCUUGAUUUACAAUCAAAUUUACUGAAAUAUUUUGCUUGUUUAGCUUGAUUUAUUAAAACAUCUUCCCAUGGAAUAAAGUAUCCAUCAAAAAUAGUAUUUUGGUUUAGUCUUUUAUAAUUAAUUACCAUUCUAGCUUUUCCUCUUUUUAUUUCAGCAUGGUUUCUUACCAUAAAAGCUAGACUUGAGUGUGGACUAUUAGUUUUUUCUAUUAAUCCUUUUUCCAAUAAUUCUUUGAUUUGUAUAUCAAAUUCAUCUAUAUCUUGUUCAGUAUAGAUCAUAGGUUUGAUUCUAAUUAUUUUAUUAGGAUUCUUUAAUUUUAUUUCACAAUAUCUUGGACUAUUUUCCCAUAAUUUUAAUGGUUCUUCACUAAAAUUAUUUUUUAGAAUUUUAAACAACCAAUGAUUUGUUUCUAGUUGUUUAAUUUGUUCUUUUCUUAUUGGUCUAAAUCCUUUAUCACAUACAAAUUUAUGGUUUUCUAUUAAAGGUAUUUCUACAGAAGUUUUUUCUGUUGAUAAUAUUACUAAAUUUCUAUCUAUAGAAAACGGUAGAUGAUGAUAUAUGAAAUUAUUUCCUAAUAAUAUAUCUCCAUGCAUUUCAGGAAAACACAAUAUUUUAGGAAUUACAAAUCUUACAUUAUUUAUGUAGAUUGGUAUAUUUCUAGCUUUAAAUUGAAUUAUGGUUUCUUUUCCAUCAAUUCCUAUAGCUCUAAUUGGAUAUUUCAUUAAUUCCCAUUUUUCUAUAGGAAUGGCAUUUUCUCUACAACUACUUGUGGUAGCUCCAGUAUCUAAUAAAGCAUGCAAAGAAUAUGUUUUAUAGUCUCUAAAUUGAAGUGUAAUUUCUAUAUAUGUAUAAUAUUUCCUAGGUUGGAAAUUUGAAAAUGUAAUAAUAUCAUUUUUUCCUAUUUUCAUUUGUUGAAUAAUAGUAGUAGAUUGUAUUUCUUCCAUUCUAGUAUUUCUAGAAUUUCUGCUAGGUUCAGUAGGGAAAAUAGGUAUUUGAACUAUUUUCAUACCUAUCGGUGUUGUUGAAUUUGUACUAAUAUUAUCUUCUUCUUCUUCUAUUUGAGAAUUAGAAGGUAAAACUAAAUUAUCAUUUGUAUUUGUUAUAGCAUUAUUUUUAAAAUAUAGUCUAUCUCCUGAUGACAUAUAUUCUAUAGUACUUACAGGUUUUGAAGUACUAGUACCACUUAUUCUAUCAAUCAUCCAAUCUUUUGGUAUUGACAGAUCUUUUAAAUGUAGUAAUUUUGGUUGUAUUUCUGUAGUAAAUUUAUUGGGUUCAAAUAACUCAAUUAUUUUAUUAUUAAUUUCUUUAAUUUCUACUUCUGUCGUGUUGGUAUAUUCAUUAAUAGAAGUCCAACUUAUUGCUAGAUCUUCUGCUAAAUCACUUAUUUCAGAAUUUUUUGUCUGAAUUCUUAAACAUAAACACUCUUCUAUUAGAGGGUCUGUAAUAGAUAUAAAAUAGUUUGAUUUAACCUUAAAUCCUAUUACACCAGUAUGUAAAUUAGACUGUAUUCCUCCAAUAAGUGCUUUUAUCGGGUUUUCAAAUCUUUUAUCUAAUAAGACUGCUAUGAUAGGUAUAUCAUGUCCUUUUCUAAAUAAAGCUCUAAUUGUUAUCAUAAUUAUACCUAAAUGUAUAUAUCUAACUUGAGGGUAUUUCUUUUUAAUCCUCUUAAUUUUUUCUUUAGUAAAUAAUGGAAUUUCUGUUAAUCCUCCUCUAGUAUCCUUAGCGACUGUGUUGCCACUAAUUUUUUCUAUAUGUCUUUGACUCCAUAUUUUAAACUUAGAUAUUUUAUAUAUUUCUUCUUUAGAAAUGUGAUUUUUAUUUAUUUUUUCUAUCAUUUCAUCAGAAAAGUCUUUUUCUUCUCCAAUCAAAUUUCCUAAUUUUAUGUCUUGUUGUUCAGACUUAGGAAUUUCUUCUAAUUGAUUUUUAGAACUACUUCCUACAUUAAACAUAAAUAUAUAUUCUUCUUCAUCUAAAUCAGAAUCCGUUUCUGAUAUUAACUCAUAUAAUAUUUCUUCAGGAUUUAUUUCCUAUUCAUAACAAAUUUCUAAAUCUUGUUCUUCAAGACUUUUAAUUAUCUUUUUAGCACUUUUUCCUUUAUUAGGACAGUUUGGUGCUAUAUGGCCUUCUUCAUCACAAAUAAAACAUUUACAUAUCUGUUUUUUAGAUUUUUUAGAAGUUUUUCUUCUAACAAAUUUUUUCUUUUUCUUAUUAUUACCAGUAUAUUUUUUAUUUCCUGGUUUCCAUCUAAUAAAUUUAUAUUUUCUAUUUUUCUUUCUAUGUUUUUUAUAUGUAUUAGGACGUGUUGUUUUACAUCCAAAUUCCCAUUCAUUUUCUAGAAUUUUUGUACAAUGACUAUAAGUUAAUUUAUUUUUUACUUGUUUAGCCGCUUUAGUUUGUAGACAAUGUAGAGUUAUUCUUUCUCUUGCAAAAUUAAUUCUAUUUCCUAUAGAAUCUAUAUUUUCUUUUGCUAUCCCUGAUUCUUUACUAUGUUUAUCUAAAUAAGACACAUAUUUUUUUAUACAUAUCUCAUCCCAUGGUGGGGGUAGUUUAUGAAAAUAUUGGUUUUUCCAAAAUUCUAUAUUUUAAUUUUUUAAUUUUUGAUAUUCAUGAAGAAAUUUUUUAGAAAAUUCUUCUAGAUAUCUAAUAUCACAUAAUUUAAUUUUUGAUAAGGUAUAACUUGCUAUACUAUCUUGAUCUUUUUUAUCAAAAUAACCACAAAAUUCUUUUUUUAGAAUAUUUGUUAAUCCUUUUAAAAGAUCUUUAGGAGUACCUAUUUGAUUAAUUAGUUGUCUUUUUUGGACUUUUCCUACUUCUGAUUCUUCCCAACGUCUUAAGAAUUGUAAAACGUCUCCUUGAAAAGUUCCUACAAAAUAAUUUAAAAAUUUUUCUUUUGACCAAGUACCGUUGUUGUUUACAACUAUUGUCAUUGACUGUGCCCAAUCAUCAAUGGUUUUUUCAUAGUCUGAUAUUGAAAUAUUAGUCAAAUCUAAAUAUAUUCCACCUUGAGCCACAUUUCUUUUAUUUAAAUCAUCUAUCCUAUGUGGUAUAGGUAUAGUUUGACUUGGUUGUUGAUUAGAAGAUUCGCCUGUAUAUUCAGUUUUAACUUCAUUAGUAGCUAUAUUUUCAGUUUGAUUACCAAAAAUUCUUGUUGUAUUUUCAACUGUUUCAAAGUCUUUAUUUAAAGCUCUCAGAUAAUCAUCUUUUUGAAUAUCUGAUUCUAAUUUUCUUUUACCAUAAGGAUCUGUUUGAUCAGUAUCCAUAGGUUCGGGGACUUCUAUAUUUUCAUCCUCAUCUGUUGAAGUGUUUUCUUCAUCAGAUUUAUAACUAGUUACAUUUAAAUCUUCUUGAUUAUCAGAAUUACUAGAAUUACUACUUUCUGUAGUAUCAUAAUUUAACAUAUAGUGAUAAUUAAACUGAGUAAAUAGAUUUUUAUGUUUUUCAUAAAGUUCUUCUAUUAAUUUUAAGUAUUCUAUUCUUUCAUUUUUAUCAGUACUUUUAGUAAAUUUGACUUUCCAAUGUUCUAUUAAUUCUUUAUAAGAUUGGAAAUCAUAUUUUUGUUGAGUAAUAUUUUUUCUUCUCUGUUUUUCAGAUUUUUUAUUUCUAUUAAUAGUAGAAGAUGACUCUUCUGAAGAAGUUUCUUCUUUUUCAUCUGAUAAAGUUAAAAUUAUAUUACUAUUACCAUAAUAUAAUGGACCUAAAUCUAUAUCUGAUUCCAUAUUAUUAUUAUUAAUCACCUGACCUAAUUUAUUAUUGACUUCUGAUAAAAUUUCUUUAGAUUUGUUGUUCAAAUCUAAUUCUUUAAUAUCUCUCAUGUAAUUUACUUUUUCUUCUAUAUUACUGACUUUAUUAUAUAUUUUAUUAUAAUAUGUGGAUGUUAUAUCUAUUAAACUAUUAAAUCAUUUACUAAGGGCCGAAAUAUUAUUUUCUUGUUUAGAAUCUAUAUGCAUAAUAUGAUUGCAGGUUUUAUCUUUAUAUAAACAAUCUGUCUCUUCCAUGUUACUUAUCUUUGGUACCUAAAACCGUCUGUUAUAUUAUUUUGUCUUAACACACAAAGGCCUAUUGUCUCUUACCUAGACUGAAAAAGGAAAAAGUUAGACAAAAUAACAGAUAUAUGGGUUUCAAGAUAAACAACCACGAAAUUAACUGGAUUGUAAAUUAAAGAUAAGAACUUACAAAUGAGUAUUAUGAUAUGAAUUCCUCCAAGAACCGUAACUCGUGGGGCCUCUGAUACCAAUUACUUGCUAUAUAGGUUGCGGAAGAUUGAUAUUUUAUUAAAAGUAAAGGAAAGAUUUUUACAAGGAAAGGUUGUUUACAGAGAGGAUACUGACAGUAAAAGGAAAGAUUUCUAAA
rnacentral:lncRNA from 1 species